rnacentral:rRNA from 1 species
AAAUGAAUAGACGGGGGCCCGCACAAGCGGCGGAGCAUGUGGAUUAAUUCGAUGCAACGCGAAGAACCUUACCUGGGCUUGACAUGUACGGGACCGCCGCAGAGAUGUGGCUUCCCUUGUGGCUCGUAUACAGGUGGUGCAUGGUUGUCGUCAGCUCGUGUCGUGAGAUGUUGGGUUAAGUCCCGCAACGAGCGCAACCCUUGUCUUAUGUUGCCAGCACGUAAUGGUGGGGACUCGUGAGAAACUGCCGGGGUCAACUCGGAGGAAGGUGGGGAUGACGUCAAAUCAUCAUGCCCCUUAUGUCCAGGGCUUCACACAUGCUACAAUGGUCGGUACAGUGGGUUGCGAUACCGUGAGGUGGAGCUAAUCCCUUAAAGCCGGUCUCAGUUCGGAUCGGGGUCUGCAACUCGACCCCGUGAAGUCGGAGUCGCUAGUAAUCGCAGAUCAGCAACGCUGCGGUGAAUACGUUCCCGGGCCUUGUACACACCGCCCGU